AUUGAACGCUGGCGGCAGGCCUAACACAUGCAAGUCGAGCGGAUGAAGGGAGCUUGCUCCUGGAUUCAGCGGCGGACGGGUGAGUAAUGCCUAGGAAUCUGCCUGGUAGUGGGGGAUAACGUCCGGAAACGGGCGCUAAUACCGCAUACGUCCUGAGGGAGAAAGUGGGGGAUCUUCGGACCUCACGCUAUCAGAUGAGCCUAGGUCGGAUUAGCUAGUUGGUGGGGUAAAGGCCUACCAAGGCGACGAUCCGUAACUGGUCUGAGAGGAUGAUCAGUCACACUGGAACUGAGACACGGUCCGGACUCCUACGGGAGGCAGCAGUGGGGAAUAUUGGACAAUGGGCGAAAGCCUGAUCCAGCCAUGCCGCGUGUGUGAAGAAGGUCUUCGGAUUGUAAAGCACUUUAAGUUGGGAGAAAGGGCAGUAAGUUAAUACCUUGCUGUUUUGACGUUACCAACAGAAUAAGCACCGGCUAACUUCGUG
rnacentral:rRNA from 1 species